CCUAGUGGUUAGAGUGGAGGGUGGCAGGGUAGCCUAGUGGUUAGAGUGGAGGGGCGGCAGGGUAGCCUAGUGGUUAGAGUGGAGGGGCGGCAGGGUAGCCUAGUGGUUAGAGUGUAGAGGCGGCAGGGUAGCCUAGUGGUUAGAGUGGAGGGGCGGCAGGGUAGCCUAGUGGUUAGAGUGGAGGGGCGGCAGGGUAGCCUAGUGGUUAGAGUGGAGGGGCGGCAGGGUAGCCUAGUGGUUAGAGUGUAGAGGCGGCAGGGUAGCCUAGUGGUUAGAGUGGAGGGGCGGCAGGGUAGCCUAGUGGUUAGAGUGGAGGGGCGGCAGGGUAGCCUAGUGGUUAGAGUGGAGGGGCGGCAGGGUAGCCUAGUGGUUAGAGUGGAGGGGCGGCAGGGUAGCCUAGUGGUUAGAGUGGAGGGGCGGCAGGGUAGCCUAGUGGUUAGAGUGGAGGGGCGGCAGGGUAGCCUAGUGGUUAGAGUGGAGGGGCGGCAGGGUAGCCUAGUGGUUAGAGUGUAGAGGCGGCAGGGUAGCCUAGUGGUUAGAGUGGAGGGGCGGCAGGGUAGCCUAGUGGUUAGAGUGGAGGGGCGGCAGGGUAGCCUAGUGGUUAGAGUGUAGAGGCGGCAGGGUAGCCUAGUGGUUAGAGUGGAGGGGCGGCAGGGUAGCCUAGUGGAUAGAGUGGAGGCGGCAGGGUAGCCUAGUGGUUAGAGUGGAGGGGCGGCAGGGUAGCCUAGUGGUUAGAGUGUAGAGGUGGCAGGGUAGCCUAGUGG